AACACAUGCAAGUCGAGGGGCAGCAUGGUCUUAGCUUGCUAAGGCCGAUGGCGACCGGCGCACGGGUGAGUAACGCGUAUCCAACCUGCCUUACACUCUUGGACAGCCUUCUGAAAGGGAGAUUAAUACAAGAUGUUAUCAUGAGUAAGCAUUUUCGCAUGAUUAAAGGUUUACCGGUGUAAGAUGGGGAUGCGUUCCAUUAGAUAGUAAGCGGGGUAACGGCCCACCUAGUCUUCGAUGGAUAGGGGUUCUGAGAGGAAGGUCCCCCACAUUGGAACUGAGACACGGUCCAAACUCCUACGGGAGGCAGCAGUGAGGAAUAUUGGUCAAUGGGCGAUGGCCUGAACCAGCCAAGUAGCGUGAAGGAUGACUGCCCUAUGGGUUGUAAACUUCUUUUAUAAAGGAAUAAAGUCGGGUAUGCAUACCCGUUUGCAUGUACUUUAUGAAUAAGGAUCGGCUAACUCCGUGCCAGCAGCCGCGGUAAUACGGAGGAUCCGAGCGUUAUCCGGAUUUAUUGGGUUUAAAGGGAGCGUAGAUGGAUGUUUAAGUCAGUUGUGAAAGUUUGCGGCUCAACCGUACAAUUGCAGUUGAUACUGGAUGUCUUGAGUGCAGUUGAGGCAGGCGGAAUUCGUG
rnacentral:rRNA from 1 species